rnacentral:rRNA from 1 species
AACGCGAAGAACCUUACCUGGCCUUGACAUGCCACUAACGAAGCAGAGAUGCAUUAGGUGCUCGAAAGAGAAAGUGGACACAGGUGCUGCAUGGCUGUCGUCAGCUCGUGUCGUGAGAUGUUGGGUUAAGUCCCGCAACGAGCGCAACCCUUGUCGUUAAUUGCCAUCAUUUAGUUGGGCACUUUAACGAGACUGCCGGUGACAAACCGGAGGAAGGUGGGGAUGACGUCAAGUCCUCAUGGCCCUUAUGGCCAGGGCUUCACACGUAAUACAAUGGUCGGUACAGAGGGUUGCCAACCCGCGAGGGGGAGCCAAUCCCAGAAAGCCGAUCGUAGUCCGGAUUGCAGUCUGCAACUCGACUGCAUGAAGUCGGAAUCGCUAGUAAUCGCGGAUCAGCAUGUCGCGGUGAAUACGUUCCCGGGUCUUGUACACACCG